GGAGGAUUACCCAAGUGGCUGAAGGGAACGGUCUUGAAAACCGUCAGGUGUGUAAUAGCACGCGAGAGUUCGAAUCUCUCAUCCUCCU
rnacentral:tRNA from 3 species